GAAUGGCCAAGACCGGUAUCUUAACUCCUCUUCUUGACAUUUUCCGCUGAUGGCAAAAGAACCACCACCAGCACCGCCACUUCCUUCCACAAAAGCAUAGUACCUGAGCAAAAUUGUUAUAGUGAAAACAAACCACUCCAAGCAAAAGAUCGACACAAAAAGCCCACCAGCCUGCUUCAAUAUCAUAGCUCCAUCUUCUUCCUUAGCAUAAGAUUUCAAGUGCCCUAAGAAUUCUUCAGUCAGUGUAGAUGUGGUGAUGAAGCUAUCAAAGACGACACAGAAGAUGGUGAGUAUGUGGAAGAGAAUGAGGAAGAAGCCACAGAGAGACAGAGAGAUUGUGAGGAAGAUGCAACUGGAGGCUGCACUCAGUAAGAUGUAGUUGCAUAUUAAGAACUUGUGGACAGUGACGGAACCACGAUUUGUUCAGUCGGAGCAAACUACAUCCUAUUUAUAGUAAAAAAAAUAAGGUCAAUUAACUCAAAGGUC
rnacentral:lncRNA from 1 species